CUACGGGGGGCUGCAGUGAGGAAUAUUGGACAAUGGGGGAAACCCUGAUCCAGCAAUGCCGCGUGAAUGAAGAAGGCCUUAGGGUUGUAAAGUUCUUUCACUCGUGAAGAUGAUGACGGUAGCGAGAGAAGAAGCCCCGGCGUAACUCUGUGCCAGCAGCCGCGGUAAGACAGAGGGGGCUAGCGUUGUUCGGAAUAACUGGGCGUAAAGGGUGCGUAGGCGGUUGUUUAAGUAAAGUGUUAAAGCCCUGGGCUUAACCCAGGAAUCGCAUUUUAAACUGGACAGCUAGAGUGUGGUAGAGGAAAGUGGAAUUUCUAGUGUAGAGGUGGAAUUCGUAGAUAUUAGAAGGAACACCAGAGGCGAAGGCGGCUUUCUGGACCACAACUGGCGCUGAGGCACGAAAGCGUGGGGAGCAAACAGGAUUAGAUACCCGGGUAGUC
rnacentral:rRNA from 1 species